CAGGAUUAUAUCUACGCAGGCUGGCUCGGAGGCUGUGAUCCUCUUCACACCUCUGGCUGCCUCUAAGUCCUGUGGAUCGUGGGGCUUCCUUUCAGCUUUCUGGGGCCUUCUAAACACACCUCAUCCAAGAUAGGGUGAGAAAUGGGUGCUUAGGAAGCAAGAGGGUUGUUAUUAGGGCCAUUUCUCCUCUAUAGCCCCAUAAGAGGUGGCUCACUGGCUUUUGUUCAGGGUCUGACACAUGGUGGUCAAAGGGUCAUUGGCCUGGUCCUGCUGGGCACGUUUCAGGACAAGUGCCCCUGGGUGCACGGGGUCCUCAGGAAAUACCUUUGCUGCCCAAGACUGCCCAGGGAUGAGGUCUCCUGAGGCAAGGGCAUCCCAGAGACCACCACCAUUUAGAAAGGGGCAGCCCAGUUCACCAUGCCCAGAACCAGUGCCCUAUCCUGGGUCCUCAUGCCCAUCAUGGCCCUGUCAUCUCCUCCCAAGGUGGCUCUAAAUGGCACAAGCCCUUCUGUCACUCUGAAAGCGCAAAACCAGGAGUGUGGUCAGGUAGAAUUGUUUCCGGCUGCAAGUAAUUGAUGGACAGGGACUUAAUGCAAACGCAGCCUUAUUCAUCUCACAUGGCAAGAGGGUGGUGGGCCAGGGUUGGCCCUGUGACUCAGUGAUGUCAAGGAAUGGGCUCAGCUUUUCUGGUAGCCGUGGGACUUGAGUCUGAGGUUUUCUUUUUGCCUGUCCCCUUACAACACAUCACACCAGCCCAUCAGGGAUAGGGACCAGUGAACCCUAAUUCGUUACAGCCAGGAGCUGUUGGAGCAAGGAGCGAAUUUAUCAUGGAUGAAAGCCUGGGUGGGGAGCCUGGUUAAUACAGGGGAUUCAUGUGUCUCUGA
rnacentral:lncRNA from 1 species